rnacentral:rRNA from 1 species
CCUACGGGUCGCACCAGUGGGGAAUAUUGCACAAUGGGCGCAAGCCUGAUGCAGCCAUGCCGCGUGUAUGAAGAAGGCCUUCGGGUUGUAAAGUACUCUCAGCGGGGAGGAAGGCGAUAAGGUUAAUAACCUUGUCGAUUGACGUUACCCGCAGAAGAAGCACCGGCUAACUCCGUGCCAGCAGUCGCGGUAAUACGGAGGGUGCAAGCGUUAAUCGGAAUUACUGGGCGUAAAGCGCACGCAGGCGGUCUGUCAAGUCGUAUGUGAAAUCCCCUGGCUCAACCUGGGAACUGCAUUCGAAACUGGCAGGCUGGAGUCUUGUAGAGGGGGGUAGAAUUCCAGGUGUAGCGGUGAAAUGCGUAGAGAUCUGGAGGAAUACCGGUGGCGAAGGCGGCCCCCUGGACAAAGACUGACGCUCAGGUGCGAAAGCGUGGGGAGCAAACAGGAUUAGAUACCCCCGUAGUC